CUGCGGCAUAUGGAGGCUCCCAGGCUAGAGUUCUAAUCGGAGCUACAGCUGCCGGCCUGCACCCCAGCCACAGCCACGCCAGAUCUGAGCCAUGUCUGCAACCUACACCACAGCUCAUGGCAACACCGGAUCCUUAACCCACUGAGCGGGGCCAGGGAUCGAACCUGUGUCCUCACGGAUACUAGUUGGGUUCAUUACCAUUGAGCCACAACGGGAACUCCCCCUCUUUCAUUUUUCAUGAAAAAUAGUAGUUUGUAUCUUUUUUUUUAGUUAGCCUGGCGAGAGGUUUGUCAAUAUUGCUGAUUUUACGAAAGAAGAACCAGCUUUGUAUUUUUUUUUUUUUUUUUAAUUUGCUCUUUAGGGUCAGACCUGUAGCAUACGGAGGCUCCCAGGCUAGGGGUCCCAUCGGAGCUGCAGCUGCCAGUCUACACCACAGCCACAGCGAAGCCAGAUCCAAGCUGCGUUUGUGACCUGCAUCCCAGCUCAUGGCAACGCCAGAUCGUUAACCCACUGAGCGAGGCCAGGGAUCGAACCCGUGUCCUCAUGGAUCCCAGUCGGUUUCUUAGCCCUCUGAACCACAACAGGCACUCCUUGCUUUGGAUUUAUAAUUUGCUUUUCUUUUUUUUAGUUUCUAAGAUUAAUUUAGAUUAUUGAUGCUAUUAACCCACUGAGUGAGGCUAGGGAUGGAGCCUGUGUCCUCACGGAUGCUAGUCGGGUUGGUUAACUGCUGAGCCACGACAGAAACUCCAAGGAAAAUUUUUUAUUGCGGUACAAAUACACUUAACAUGAACUUGCCCUUUUAACCAUUUUCAAGUGUGCAGCUCAGUGGCAUUAAAUGCAGCCACUACCAUCCUGUCCGGGGCGUUUUCAUCUUCCUGAACCAAAGCCCUGUACCCAUUAACCACUACCUCCGUCAUCCGCCCGCCUCCCCCAGCCCCCGCCCCCCCCGCUCUGCUUUCUGUCUCCUUGAAUCUGACUCCGCCCGGGACCUCACCUCGGGGGAUCGUGCAGUCCUUGUCCUUUGUGACUGGCUCGUGUCACCAGCAUCAUGUCCUCGAGGUCCCUCCGCGUUGGAGCGGGUGUCAGAACCGCCUCCCCUUUUAAGCUACUCCUCCACGGUGUGGACGGGCCCCGAGGCGUUUUCCACCAGCCUUUGGAGGUCCGGCCGCUCGCGUCUCUCGGCUGUGUGCACAGGCUGCUCUGGACACGCUGUGCAAGUACCUGUGCAGGUGUCUGAUUUCAGUUCUUUUGGGUUUGUGCCCAGAAGUGGGGUUGCUGGAUCACGUGAUUCUGCCUUCAGUGUUUUGUGGGACUGCGCUGAUGUCCACGGCGGCCGCACCGUCUCGCAUCCCCACCAGCAGCACCCCAGCUCCUCCACACGCUCCCCACUCUUGUUCUUGGAUAAUCGGCCUCCGCCUGUGCACGGGUGUGUGAGUGGCCGUGGGCUUCUUGCUGGGCCUGGUCUCCGGUGCCCCCCCAGGAGCUGCUGUUGGCCUCAUGGGCCACUUCUCAGUGGUCUCGCUGCCCCACCCCCGCCCCGCCCCGCCGUGAGCCAUGCUGGACACCCAGGGACAGAGCCCCAGCUGUGGCCCCAUGCGUGUCCUUCCUAUGUUGCAUGAGCGGCUGCCCCUGGCUGGACCGUAGGGUCGGGAGAGCUGCAGGCGGUGAAGACACUUGCAGAAGCCUGGCUGGAGUUGAACCCAGGCUCCUAGGGUUCUAAGUGUGCUGGGGCCCCCACUGCUGGUGCCAGAGCUGUGAGGCCACAGCGAGAAGGGGCUUUGGAGUGUCACAGAUAGGGUGAAAACUCAGAGCCAUCGUCAGCGUGUAGGGUAGAGUCAGGGGCAUGCCAGCCUGUGGGCGUCGCAUAAACAGUGAUUAUUUUUAUUUACUAUUUUGCUGCACGAAUUACCCUCUUGGAAAACCACUGCAGCCACGAGGAGAACAACAGCCACGCAGCCAUGUGAGCCGCGGACUUGGUCAAGGGCAGCAGAGCCGUGUCAGGAGGCAGGAGUCGGGGAUGGGGGGUGUCACUUUAGACUUAGAGCUGAGCUUUCGCCUGGGCAGCAGCCCCAGACCCCUGCCCCCGCCUCUGCCCUGCUCAGAAAGGCUUUCUGGGUGCCUGGGUGCCUUGGCUGUGCGGGUCCCCACCCUUCUGCCUGGUGGUGGGGGCUGGAUGUGCGGAAGCAGGAAGCAUCCUGACCCCACGUGGGGUUGGGGCUGCUUUUAAAGGCGAGAGUUGGUGAUUUGCUCCUGUCGUGAUGGGGCCUGGCCCAGCCCCGUGCAGGCGCCUGACGCAGUGAGGGUCGCCCGUUCCUAGUUCCCACGAGGCCCAGGUCCCCACGAUUCUGAGGUGAGGGCGCCCUGGAAAAGGCCGCUUCCUUUCAGGUUGUUUCCGGAGCAGGGUCUGCCCCGGCGGGGGUCCGCAGACCGGUCAGAGCCUAAGAGCAGUCCCCUGCCGUUAGCCGCGUGUGAGGUGUUGGGGGGAGCGGGGCCCCAUUUCAUAAGGACACAUCAUUGGGUCAGGGUCCACCCCAGUGACGUCAUUUCACUGGGUGACCUCAGCAGGGAACCUGUUUCCAGUGAGGUCAGAUGCACAGGUUCUGGGGGUAGGAUGCUGGCAUGAACUUGGGGAGACACAGUCCAUUACAGGGCAUUUGGGGGGAAAACUGAGGUGCAUCGUGGGGACAUCCCGCCUGCGGCCCCUAGCUCACAAGGAGGGGUCUGGGGCCACACCCCCCACCCCUUCACGCCCUCCUGGGUCUUCGCGGUCAUGGUUGCGGCCGGGCCUGCUCUGGGAGGCCCGUGCUCACAGGCCCACGUGUGUGUGGGCUGGGGACUGUGCGGAGUGGCCCAGACCCCCGGAGCCCCAGCCUCAUGCCUUUGCCUGUGCGACGGUGGGGCCCUCGAGGUUCCUGCCUUGGAACCUGGGUUCUGCGAUUCCUGCCGGCGAUUCCCAGGCGGAGACCACGGUCCCGAGCGGUUCUGGUCUGCCCCUCAGGUCCCGCCCCCGGCCCCCUGCAGCCUUUCUUCUUGGCUCCAGAAGGGAGUUCUCGCUGGGGGCAGUGGCGCAGGGACACAGCUGGGGCUUGGAGAGAAUUUAUGGAAUUCAAAUAACAUGACUGAUUGCUCUCUU
rnacentral:lncRNA from 1 species